UACGUAGGGGGCUAGCGUUGUCCGGAAUCAUUGGGCGUAAAGCGCGCGUAGGCGGCCCGGUAAGUCCGCUGUAAAAGUCAAAGGCUCAACCUUUGAAUGUCAGUGGAUACUGCCGGGCUAGAGUCCGGAAGAGGCGAGUGGAAUUCCUGGUGUAGCGGUGGAAUGCGCAGAUAUCAGGAGGAACACCAACGGCGAAGGCAGCUCGCUAGGACGGUACUGACGCUAAGGCGCGAAGGCCAGGGGAGCAAACGGG
rnacentral:rRNA from 1 species